rnacentral:rRNA from 1 species
GACGAACGCUGGCGGCGUGCCUAAUACAUGCAAGUUGAGCGCUGAAGGUUGGUACUUGUACCUCCUGUGUGGGCAGCGAACGGGUGAGUAACGCGUGGGGAAUCUGCCUUUGAGCGGGGGACAACAUUUGGAAACGAAUGCUAAUACCGCAUAAAAACUUUAAACACAAGUUUUAAGUUUGAAAGAUGCACUUGCAUCACUCAAAGAUGAUCCCGCGUUGUAUUAGCUAGUUGGUGAGGUAAAGGCUCACCAAGGCGAUGAUACAUAGCCGACCUGAGAGGGGGAUCGGCCACAUUGGGACUGAGACACGGCCCAAACCCCCACAGGAGGGAGCAGGAGGGGAACUUCGGCAAAGGAGGAAAGUCUGGACGAGGAAAGCCGGGGGAGGGAAGGAGGGUUUCGGAUCGUAAAAAUCUGUUGGUAGAGAAGAAAGAUGGGGGGAGUGGAAAGCUCAUAAAGUGACGGUAACUACUCAGAAAGGGACGGCUAACUACGUG